UUUUAACGAACAACCAAAAAAAAAAAAACAAAACUUUAUAUAAAAACAAACCAAGCCUGCUAGCCAAUGACCAGCACACGUUCACCAACAUAUAGGCAGAACCCCAAAUACAAAACAAUCACAAGCCACAACACAGUUCAUACAAGAUAUAUCGAACUCAGCUCAGCAGAUUCUGGGGAUGUAGCCGCAGAACGAACACAAGAACGGCUGCACACUAAUAUUUCUUUUCUCUAGGGCCUCCACAUUUAUGCGUUCGAACCACUCCGAUCAUUCCCUCUGUUCGAAAAUUUCCGGCCGCGAUUUCAUCUCGCAACAAAGUUUUUGUAGACGGAUUCACAAACAAGGAUGAGAUUUAUAAGGAUUUCUCGAGCAAACCUUCAAUGGUAUCUUAUGGAAUGGCAUCCAUUCAGAACAGCUUUCAACACGAUGUGUUUUUGAGCUUCAGAAAAGACUAAGGUUUGGAUUUAUACCUCAACAAGAAGAGGAAUUCGGUUGAAGUGGUUGGUGUCAGUUAAAUCGGUUUUAUGGUGGUGGGAUUGAUUUUAGAACUCGCCAGAAAACUCCACCGAGUGGGUUUUCUAAUAAAUAAUCAUUUGACACUUUAGCAGUUGGAUUAACAGUGACCACCAAGGCUUCAGCAUGGAUCCAACUUGUUGUUUUUUCAAAUCGUAGUCUCCUGCUGAGCUCAGAGUUUUCAUCUUGAUAAGGAUGGCUUUCUCUUCCACCGGUAGCAUUCGAAAUGGACCUUGCUCUCACAAAUCUCUUCGACUUAAUUCAUCCGUGGACCCAUUCAGUUCAUCGUCUUCAAAAUCUGGGUAUGGACAGUUACCGACAAAGUUGUCUGACGUGAAAGAAACUCUGAGCUCGGGAGGAGACGAAGAUUUGAAAAAACAGCAAGUUGUAUCCAUGCUGAAGCAUUGGUGGUCACUAUUGAUCCAACUGCUAAAGUAUCAACAUAUCAAAAUGUGAACAAGCCUAUUUUGGAGAAUUAAACCUUUGGGGUUAGUGCCAAUGAACUUGUGGAUGCUCACAAGAGAGCAAUGAUAUAUGGGCUUAAACCCGUUUAUGCAUCCUUGAGAAACAAGUCUACAAACGUUCUGCUUCUAGGAGCAAUCCUUCUGUUGGUACUUUAGUAGUUGGAUCAACAGGGACCACCAAGGCUUCAGCAUGGAUCCAACUUGUUUUUUCAAAUCUUAGUCUCCUCUUGAGCUCAGAGUUUCCUUCACGUCGGAUAACUUCAUCGGUAACCGUCCAUACCCGGAUUUUAAAGACGAUGAACUGAAUGGGUCCACGGAUGAAUUAAGUCGAAGAGAUUUGUGAGAGCGAGAUCCAUGUGAUCGCACCUGAUUGCUUUUCAACAACAUUAAGCAUCUUCUUCACCAACAAAGGGCACUUGUGAUUCAUGUGAUCGCACCUUAUUGAUUUUUCGAAAUGGACUUGAAAAAUAUUUUGGAAAAUCACUUUCUAAUGAUUUAUAAGUUACGCUUUGAAGAAGAUUUUGAGUUUGUAAUCGUUGAGGCCAACUCAAUUAGCUUUGCUACUAUCCAAGAAAACGGGGAGAAUGAGGCUUUUGGGGUUACGUUUUCAAAUUUUAAAUAUGCGGGAGCCUAGCUAUCUACUCCAUGAAGGUUAUGAUGUCUCUCUUUUCAACAAGCCCUAUAUAUACAUACAUCUGGACACCUAAGGGUGGGCGGAGUGGGUUCGGAGAGUGGAGCAGGGAGGGGACUUUGCCGCGCGGUGAAGUGGUGCCGGCCUUCAAUCGGUGAGCGGUGAGUGGUUUGGGCGGUGACUUGUCACCGGCUCGGUGAAGAAGAGAAAGGUGGGAGAGAUAUGGUGAAUGGUGGGCCCCAACCCCUUUCAACCAAUCACAAUUUUUUUUUAAAAUUGUUUACCACUCUCCAUGUAUUUGACCAUUGCUAGUGAUUGAGUGCAAAAUGGGGAGUGGAGUGGGGACUUGACAUGACAUGACAUUAUUGGUUACAAAAUUGUUUAAACUAGGAUUGAGACCCGCCGCAAUGCGGCGGGCAUUCUUUAGUUAUAACUAAGUCGAUCUAGGACCUGCACGUUAUGUUAAACCUGUCAAACUGGGAAGAAAUAGACGAUAUAAAAACGUUCACCCACAGACGCAUGUUGCGUCGUGUUAACUCGCAAAAUUUAGAA